rnacentral:lncRNA from 1 species
CAUGCCUGGGUGUGCAGCGGAGAAGACAGCCUCUUGAAUGAUGUGAACAGUGAUGGCUUUCUCUGAGAGUAAGACAAGAAAGCUUUGUAAAUGGCGUUGAAUUUCCUGCUCUUGGCAGGCCCUGCUCAGCACAGAAGAAAAGACUGAUCAAGUUGUCCAAGAUGGAGCCCUUUAUCCACGUUAGUCCACUUAUCUCUUUAAGAUUAAAG